rnacentral:lncRNA from 1 species
AUCACUGUUAUUUAAGAUAGGUAAUUUCACUGGAAAGUGAAAUCUGUGUGAAAACUUCAACAAGGAUCACAUAAAUCUCUUGCUACAUAGAGAAAUCUGCAGGCUUAGCAAGGGAUGAGCUCUCAGCUAGAAAUAUGAGCACAAAUAUGAAUUGUUGGGGUUCUUUUAAGAAAAUAGAAGGAUAAAUGCUGCUGAGAACUUUGAAGAUUCAGAAUGAAUGUGAAUACCAGCCUGUUCGAUGGACAUUUUCCUCACACUAGCCAGUUGUAAAGCCCUGGAGAAAAUCUGAGCUGCUUUCUGAAAAUUGUCUAUGUCCUGUCACUUCAAGUAAGGAGAUUCUGUUUCAAAGCCAUUACUGUGAGGAAGCCCAUACUAAUCCAUACAGAGAGGCUGCAUGGAGAGGCCACUUGGGAAGGAAUAGAGGCCUGCAGCUGAAGGUCAUGAUAAACUCCCAGAUGUUGAAAAAGACACACAUCACACAUGGAGAUCACAUCUUUGGAGCCAAGGCAAUUGGAGUCUGGUAAAACCAAGAAGCAAAAUGUCCAUGAAAAAUAAGAGAAUGAGAUUCAUUAACUUAGGUUGAUUUCCUUAAGAGAUUGUGACCUGGAGAUUUGCUGCAGGGAGUUUAUUGGGAAGAACACUCUGGAGCAACACCAUUAAAGGAUUAAAACACCAGGAAUGAACCCUCUCAUCAUGUGUAGACACAGAGAGAUGGAAGUCAUCUGCAAGCAAAGGAAUGAAGACCCUCAAAACCAAACCUACCAACAUCAUGAACUUGGAUAUUUAGCCUUCAGAACUUUGAAAAGAUAGAGUUAUUUAAACAUCUUAGUGAGAAAUAUUUUUAUGGAAGUCUUAGCAAAUUAAUGGAGUCAGUUUUCUCAAGAGGCUUAUGUUUUAGAGAGUUUUAGCUUCAGGGAAAAAUUGAGCAAAAUAUAGAGAAGGAAUAUUUUCCACAGUGCCUCUACACAUGCGUAGCUUCCUACGUUAUUAACAAUCACCAACAGAAUGGUACAUUUGUUAUAAUUGUUGAAGUUUUGUGACACAUAAUUAUUAUCCAAAGUCCAUGUUAUACAGAGGGUUCAUAGUUGGUGUUGAAUAUUUCCUGGAUUAAAAAAAUGUGUAAUGUAUUUAUUUACCUUUAUAGUACUAUACAAAUAGUUUCACUGGUGAAAAGAAAAAUCUUCUAUGCUCUAUUAGUCCUUCUCCAUAACCCCUGAAACCACUGGUCUUUUUAUUAUCUCCACAUAUUUUUAUUUUUCAGAAUUUUUGAGCAGUUGAAGUCAAACUAUCUAAAAGGAUUUGAAUUUGGCUUUUGCCACAUAGUAAUGUAC